GCAAGUCAGGUGUGUGUGUGUGUCUACAGGGGGUUGAAGGUGACUUAAUAAAAGGUUGCUGUGAAGGUAAACAGUGGCCAGCUGGGGUACCACCUACUGAGCACAGGAGGCUGGUUGCACCUUAAUUGGGGAGGACAGACUCGUGGUAAUGACUGGAACAGAAUCAGUGGAAUGGUAUCAAAUACAUCUAACACAUGGUUUCCAGGUGGUUGAUGCCAUUCCGUUUGCUCCGUUCUGGACAUUAUUCUGAGCCGUCCUCCCCUCAGCAGCCUCCAUCACUACUGAGGGACUGUUCCAGCUUGCCCCCUGAGCCUUCUAGUUCCACAAAGGUUCCUUGUUGAGAACCGGUUCUUAGAACAUGUCGCCACAGAUUACGUUACCCUCCAAAUCCACUACGCUCAGGUUAUCCAAAGUUUCCAAAUGAAUAUGGACUCAUUUUAACGGUGGAUCGUAAAACUGUCCCAACUCGUUCUGUUGUUUUCCCUUCUGUCUUUUUAUUUACAGGGAAGACACACUGAGACCUCGGCCUCUUUUACAAAGGUGUCCUGUAUAUACAACAUCAAUAUACACAUUACACCCAUCUCCACCUCUUCAACACCUAGUUAACUAUAAUCCUAGGUGUUAGUAUUGUAAUCUGGAGCCUGUCUCUGAUGAGUCUCCUAAAGGGUGGUAGGGGAGGAGAGAUGUCUCUGAUGAGUCCCCUAGGGGUAGGGGAGGAGAGAUGUCUCUGAUGAGUCUCCUAGGGGUAGGGGAGGAGAGAUGUCUCUGAUGAGUCCCCUAGGGGUAGGGGAGGAGAGAUGUCUCUGAUGAGUCUCCUAGGGGUAGGGGAGGAGAGAUGUCUCUGAUGAGUCUCCUAGGGGUAGGGGAGGAGAGAUGUCUCUGAUGAGUCCCCUAGGGGUAGGGGAGGAGAGGUGUCUCUGAUGAGUCUCCUAGGGGUGGUAGGGGAGGUGUCUCUGAUGAGUCCCCUAGGGGUAGGGGAGGAGAGGUGUCUCUGAUGAGUCCCCUAGGGGUAGGGGAGGUGUCUCUGAUGAGUCCCCUAGGGGUAGGGGAGGAGAGGUGUCUCUGAUGAGUCCCCUAGGGGUAGGGGAGGAGAGGUGUCUUUGAUGAGCCUCCUAGGGGUAGGGGAGGAGAGGUGUCUUUGAUGAGCCUCCUAGGGGUGGUAGGGGAGGAGAGAUGUCGCUGAUGAGUCUCCUAGGGGUGGUAGGGGAGGAGAGGUGUCUCUGAUGAGUCUCCUAGGGGUGGUAGGGGAGGAGAGGUGUCUCUGUUGAGUCUCCUAGGGGUGGUAGGGGUGGAGAGGUGUCUCUGAUGAGUCUCCUAGGGGUGGUAGGGGAGGAGAGGUGUCUCUGAUGAGUCCCCUAGGGGUAGGGGGAGGAGAGGUGUCUCUGAUGAGUCCCCUAGGGGUAGGGGAGGAGAGGUGUCUCUGAUGAGUCCCCUAGGGGUAGGGGUGGAGAGGUGUCUCUGAUGAGUCCCCUAGGGGUAGGGGAGGAGAGGUGUCUGAUGAGUCUCCUAGGGGUAGGGGAGGAGAGGUGUCUCUGAUGAGUCCCCUAGGGGUAGGGGAGGAGAGGUGUCUCUGAUGAGUCUCCUAGGGGUAGGGGAGGAGAGGUGUCUCUGAUGAGUCUCCUAGGGGUAGGGGAGGAGAGGUGUCUCUGAUGAGUCUCCUAGGGGUAGGGGAGGAGAGGUGUCUCUGAUGAGUCUCCUAAGGGUAGGGGAGGAGAGGUGUCUCUGAUGAGUCUCCUAGGGGUAGGGGAAGCUCGCUGGUGAUAAUGACCAUGGCUGUUCAUUAACCUGCUCUUCAACUAUUACAUGGUGGACAUGGUAAACUGACUGAAUGGCAGAUGAGAGAGAGGAGUACAGUAAGAUCCUAUUGGAAUAAAACACCUGAUUUAUGAUGAAGUCGCUUUCCCAUGAGGGUGAUAUGGAAACUGUUGAUCAGACAACAUCACUGUGGUUGGCCUCUUCCUCCCAACAUUACUCUUUCAACAGAUGGAUGUUCCUCUUCCUCCCACCGUUACUCUUUCAACAGAUGGCUGUUCCUCUUCCUCCCACCGUUACUCUU